AUUGAACGCUGGCGGCAGGCCUAACACAUGCAAGUCGAGCGGGGUUUUCGGACCUAGCGGCGGACGGGUGAGUAAUGCGUAGGAAGCUACCCGAUAGAGGGGGAUACCAGUUGGAAACGACUGUUAAUACCGCAUAAUGUCUACGGACCAAAGUGUGGGACCUUCGGGCCACAUGCUAUCGGAUGCGCCUACGCGGGAUUAGCUAGUUGGUGAGGUAAUGGCUCACCAAGGCGACGAUCCCUAGCUGGUUUGAGAGGAUGAUCAGCCACACUGGAACUGAGACACGGUCCAGACGCCUACGGGAGGCAGCAGUGGGGAAUAUUGGACAAUGGGCGCAAACCUGAUCCAGCCAUGCCGCGUGUGUGAAGAAGGCCUUCGGGUUGUAAAGCACUUUCAGUAGGGAGGAAGCGUUGUGUGUUAAUAGUACACAGCGUUGACGUUACCUACAGAAGAAGCACCGGCUAACUCUGUGCCAGCCGCCGCCGUAACAC
rnacentral:rRNA from 1 species